GUCCACGCCCUAAACGAUGUCGACUGGUUGUUGGGGUUGACACUCUCAGUAACGAAGCUAACGCGUGAAGUCGACCGCCUGGGGAGUACUGCCGCAAGGUUAAAACUCAAAGGAAUUGACGGGGACCCGCACAAGCGGUGGAUUAUGUGGAUUAAUUCGAUGCAACGCGAAAACCUUACCUACCCUUGACAUGUCCGAGAGCCCGCAGAGAUGUGGGUGUGCCCGAAAGGGAAUCGGAACACAGGUGCUGCAUGGCUGUCGU
rnacentral:rRNA from 1 species